AAAAUAAAAAGAGGAGAGAGAAAAAUAGAAAAAAAAAAAACCCCAAAAACCAGAGGGGAGAGAACCGCGAUCAAAUUCUGCAAAUUCAUUCUAGAUUUUGAAGAAGAUUGAAGAAGGUUUGAAGGCUGCCAAAAAGAGAUGAGACUGGAGAAGAGAAAAUUGAAUUGAAGAAAAUUUGCGAUCGGAUGCAAAAGGCGAUAACAUUCUGCAAAUUCGAGCUUGAAUUUCCCUCACGCGAUUGAUCCUCACUCCAAUUCGCAGAUAGGAGAUGCAGAGUAUACGUUCCCAAACUUUAGCCAGCUUUUUUUUGUUUAGCUCAUAAGAAACCUCGUGUUGUUUGGUCCGUGGAGCUGCACCGCAAGUUUGUUGCUGCUGUAAACCAACCUGGCCUUGAGAGUAUGUUCUCUUAUUCUCCUGUUUUUGCAUAUAAUGGCAUUCGUUCUACGCAGUUGAUAUGAUUGACUUACUUUGGAUCAAAUAAAGUAAUCCUAUUAAGAAGGAAUUCUUGUUUGAUUCACUUAUUCAAUCUUAGUUGAUGAUUAUAGAGAGUUGUCAUAACUCAUCAUAGUAUCAACAACUACCAGGCUAAAUAUAAAACAUCAUAAUUGCCAAAUUCAAUGCUAUUGCCAUGUUAUGUACUAAGUAACGUAACCUAUGGUGAUGAUAGUUUCAUAAUGCUUCAUUUUCUAUUCCAGAGCUCUUAGGGUCAGAGAUUAGUGCAACAUAUUUCUUGUAGAUUUAUUUACUAUGGUACUUGAGAUUCUAAUUAAAGCUUGCUAUUCAAAUGCUGAUUUUUUCUCUGUUAAAGCAGAGGUUAUACCUAAGAAAAUCCUAAAAUUGAUGAAUGUCGAUAAGCUUAACUCGGAUACUUUUUGGCUCAAUCCCAGCCACCAUAACCAAUAUAGUCACUGUGAGUACAAAUUCAGCAUUGGAGGCAGGUGAUAGGAGGCUAGGAGCAACAGAAAUUCGAGAAGGAAGUAUUGACAGAAGAUGGAUCAAACCAACAGCAUGGAUGUUGGAGCAAUAUUUUGUUUUCUUUUGUGUUUUUUGGAAGCAGAUGGGGGCAAGAUUUUACUUAUUAGUUGAUGGGUUUUGGGAUAUAAUAUUUUGGUGUAUAGGUCUAUUUUGCUGUAAUCGUGACAUUGUGCUUAGGCCCUGAUUAUUAUUAAUAAUACGCAUCUUCUGUGUUUAAAAAUUA